rnacentral:tRNA from 1 species
AGAAUUUUAGGUUAAAAAAAAAAAAACUAAAAGUUUUCAAAACUUUUUAUAUGUAAGGGAUACUUAAAUUCUG